CGCGGGGUAGAGCAGGGGUAGCUCGUCGGGCUCAUAACCCGGAGGUCAUGAGGUUCAAAUCCCAUCCCCGCAACCA
rnacentral:tRNA from 1 species